rnacentral:lncRNA from 1 species
ACAAAAAAUGGUAAACCAACAAUGUACACGUAGGCCAAAAUCUAAAAACAUAAAUUUGUUUGAACUGCCAAUUUCUUCUACGAAAAAGGCACAAAAAGGUCUGGAAACUAUAUUAGUCAACCAGUGCAUGCAAAUUUAUACAAAGAACCUGCAUUAGAACAAGUACUAAAGCAGACUUAACAUAUUACAUAAAACACCCUGGAACUACAAAUAAAAAAGCAAUCCGAUCCCU